UACGUAGGGUGCGAGCGUUAAUCGGAAUUACUGGGCGUAAAGAGCUCGUAGGCGGUCUGUCGCGUCGGUCGUGAAAACUUGGGGCUUAACCCUGAGCUUGCGGUCGAUACGGGCAUGACUGGAGUUCGGCAGGGGAGACUGGAAUUCCUGGUGUAGCGGUGAAAUGCGCAGAUAUCAGGAGGAACACCGGUGGCGAAGGCGGGUCUCUGGGCCGAUACUGACGCUGAGGAGCGAAAGCGUGGGGAGCGAACAGG
rnacentral:rRNA from 1 species